AUGUACCACUGGUCCACUACCGUUGUGAGUCUGCCAUCCACGCCUGCCUGACCACUGCGCGCUCCCUGUGGUCAGCC
rnacentral:sRNA from 1 species